rnacentral:rRNA from 1 species
UACAUGGGGUGCAAACGUUGCUCGGAAUUAUUGGGCGUAAAGCGCGCGUAGGCGGUUACUUAAGUCGGAUGUGAAAGCCCUCGGCUUAACCGAGGAACGGCCGUCCAAACUGCUUCGCUUGAGACCGGGAGAGGUGAGUGGAAUUCCCAGUGUAGCGGUGAAAUGCGUAGAUAUUGGGAGGAACACCAGUGGCGAAGGCGGCUCACUGGACCGGUACUGACGCUGAAGCGCGAAAGCGUGGGGAGCAAACGGG